CAAAAUAGAAACUUUGCAUUUAAUUUAAUAUAACAAAGUUAAAUAAAUACUGAUCAAAAUGAAAAGUCGUGAAAAGAAAAAAUAAAAAUUAAUAUUAUAUAUGUGAAAAAAAUAAGUGACAAAUGUGCCAGUGAGUAGUGCCCAGUGAGAAAUCGUCGCGCAAAAAAAAAAUUUCAGGUCGGGCUUUAGAUUAAUUACACAAGUGUUAAGUGGUAAUUUGUUGGCAUUUCGGUGUUGCAUGUAAAAAAAAGUCCACAUGUACGCGUUACCAGUGACGGCAAUUUAGUGGAUGGGCCACCCACAAGUAAUCCUUGGACCACGGCAAAGAAGGAGCGCCAUCAGAAUUUACGUAUGGAGCUCGCAUUUGGAUCAUCAUGGAGCGAGGGCGAAAUAUGUUUAGCAAGAAUUAUCAAUAUCAAUUUGGAAACAAUCAUCUGCCGUAAAAUCAUGGAAUUGCACCAUCAGAAGCAUCAUCAACAUAUGUGCACAACUUGAAUGCUGCCAAGGCGCAGUUUGCUGAAGCACAGAAAAGCUGAUGUGACUACGACCAUCCCAUGUUGAAGCUAUCUGGGAUGCCGCCAGCUGGAAGGAUAUCUUUAAUCACCUCGUUGCCGCUGCUAAGAGAUGUUUGAGUCAUCCAAGCUUUAAUUGACCUAGAGAAAAAUUCGAAUUUGUGGGACGAAUGUUGGGCAAAGCGGUGCUUACUCGUAAAGGAUAAAAUGAAGGAGCUAGAAGUGCAUUCGGUGGUAGAAAUCAACAUCAAGUUAGGGCGGCACAAAAGGCGGUCGCCCAUGCAUGCGCGAUUCGUAGGAGAAAUUCGCGUGUGCUAUCUAACUUAGAGUAUUGAGAGUAUGACACGUCGCAUCAUCAAACUAAACAACUACAACCAAAACGCGCCGAAAAGAUUCCUUAAAUGAAAACUUUGACAUUGUUAAAAUAGUUGACGAUUUUGAAGUAGUUUAAAAUUUAUU